AGUGAACGCCGGCGGCGUGCUUAACACAUGCAAGUCGAACGAGAACGGAUUAUAGCUUGCUAUAAUUGUCAGCUAAGUGGCGCACGGGUGAGUAAUGUAUAGGUAAUAUGCCUCUUACUAAGGGAUAACAAUUGGAAACGAUUGCUAAUACCUUAUGUUCCUUUUUAUCAAAAGAUAAAAAGGGAAAGAUUUAUUGGUAAGAGAUUAGCCUGUAUUGUAUCAGUUAGUUGGUGGGGUAAUGGCCUACCAAGACGAUGACGCAUAACUGGUUUGAGAGGAUGAUCAGUCACACUGGAACUGAGACACGGUCCAGACUCCUACGGGAGGCAGCAGUGGGGGAUAUUGCACAAUGGACGAAAGUCUGAUGCAGCAACGCCGCGUGGAGGAUGACACAUUUCGGUGCGUAAACUCCUUUUAUAUAAGAAGAUAAUGACGGUAUUAUAUGAAUAAGCACCGGCUAACUCCGUGCCAGCAGCCGCCGCCG
rnacentral:rRNA from 1 species